rnacentral:rRNA from 1 species
AGUGAACGCUGGCGGUAGGCCUAACACAUGCAAGUCGAACGGCAGCACAGUAAGAGCUUGCUCUUACGGGUGGCGAGUGGCGGACGGGUGAGGAAUACAUCGGAAUCUACUUUUUCGUGGGGGAUAACGUAGGGAAACUUACGCUAAUACCGCAUACGACCUACGGGUGAAAGCAGGGGAUCUUCGGACCUUGCGCGAUUGAAUGAGCCGAUGUCGGAUUAGCUAGUUGGCGGGGUAAAGGCCCACCAAGGCGACGAUCCGUAGCUGGUCUGAGAGGAUGAUCAGCCACACUGGAACUGAGACACGGUCCAGACUCCUACGGGAGGCAGCAGUGGGGAAUAUUAGACAAUGGGCGCAAGCCUGAUCCAGCCAUACCGCGUGAGUGAAGAAGGCCUUCGGGUUGUAAAGCCCUUUUGUUGGGAAAGAAAAGCAGCAGGUUAAUACCCCGCUGUUCUGACGGUACCCAAAGAAUAAGCACCGGCUAACCUCGUG